UGUUGUCGCAAUAGUAAUCCUGCUCAGUACGAGAGGAACCGCAGGUUCAGACAUUUGGUGUAUGUGCUUGGCUGAGGAGCCAAUGGGGCGAAGCUACCAUCUGUGGGAUUAUGACUGAACACCUCUAAGUCAGAAUCCCCCCUAAAAGUGAUGAUAUCGCAGCGCCGAGGAGCCUCGGUGGGCAGAGCCGCUCGCUUAGAGACCGGAAGGCAGACGGAACAAGGGCGUGCCAUCUCUCUCCAAGCGCACCGCACGUUCGCGGGAACCCGGUGCUAAAUCAUUCGUAGACGACGGGGUUCUGGGUCAAGGUUUCGUGAGUAGCAGAGCAGCUACCUCGUGCUAGCUGCUGUGUCAGCCAUUUCUGCUUUUAUUAUUU